rnacentral:hammerhead_ribozyme from 1 species
GUACUGCUGAAGAGUCCCAAACUAGGACGAAACAGCUGCCCCGUAC